UACGUAGGGUGCAAGCGUUAAUCGGAAUUACUGGGCGUAAAGCGUGCGCAGGCGGCUUUGUAAGUCAGAUGUGAAAUCCCCGGGCUUAACCUGGGAACUGCGUUUGAAACUACAAGGCUAGAGUGUGACAGAGGGGGGUGGAAUUCCACGUGUAGCAGUGAAAUGCGUAGAGAUGUGGAGGAACACCGAUGGCGAAGGCAGCCCCCUGGGUUAACACUGACGCUCAGGCACGAAAGCGUGGGGAGCAAACAGG
rnacentral:rRNA from 1 species